GCGGUGUUAGUUUAUAUAAAAAUGGUGGCUUGUCAUGCCACAGAAGUUADUUUKAUCACACCGUU
rnacentral:tRNA from 1 species